UACAGAGGUCUCAAGCGUUGUUCGGAUUCAUUGGGCGUAAAGGGCGCGUAGGCGGCGGGGUAAGUCGGGUGUGAAAUCUCAGAGCUCAACUCUGAAACUGCACUCGAUACUGCUCUGCUUGAGGACUGGAGAGGAGACUGGAAUUCACGGUGUAGCGGUGGAAUGCGUAGAGAUCGGGAAGAAUACCCGUGGCGAAGGCGGCCAGCUGGGCCAGGUCCGACACUGAGGCGCGAAAGCGUGGGGAGCAAACAGG
rnacentral:rRNA from 1 species